CCUUAUUGUAUUAAGUGCUCUAGCAGUCUCUGUUCCUCUAUAUUUCUUUACUACACAUCCAAUAUGCUAUGCUUUAUUUAUUUAUUUGUGUUUUUUCUUGACUGUUUCUACUCAAUACAACAUAAAUUUUAUGAGAGCAGAGAUUUUUGUCUCUUUCAUCCUCUGCUAUAAUUUGGUGCCUAGAACAAUAUCUGGCACGAAGUAGAUGCUCGAUAAAUGCUUUUUGAGUAAAGUAACGCAGAAGCUGUAUGUGUUCUGUUGCUAGAGGCUAAGUGCAUUUUCUCUAAGCCCAGCAUUGAAUGGCUUAUUGAAGAAUGAAACACGCAUUUCCAGGCUGGUCUCUGUGGUUUUUAUUAGUGUUUCCUGGGACCCAUCAAACAAAUAAACAUAUUUUGAAAAAUAUAAUUCUUUGACAAAACAGGAAUAGCAGGAAUAGUUUGAAUUUAACAUAGCUUAAAGGGAAAGAUUUCUGAUUUUUUUUAAAUAGUAGCAAUAGAGUUGUUUCCACAAAUUGUCAACCCAGGAGCCAGAUGGAAAGAAAAACAAGAAUUAUGCAGAUAACUACAGAAAGAUUAAUCCCAAUUUAGUUAAACUUGUGAAGGCUUGUACGUUUCAGAGGUUCAUAAGACACAGUCUCAACAGGAGUUUUUUUUAAUAAAUGCUCUAUCUCUAGUUCCAGAAACUGAAUUCCAAGAAGCUACACUGAGGAUAAUUCAGCUCUGAUAUUGUGAUUACUGUGAUGUUCUUUCAUUCAUACAGUAAGUAUCUGCCCAAUACGUAACUACCGAGAUCUAUUGCUUCCUACAUAAUUAGACAAGCUCCUCACACAUAUGGGCCCAUGCCGUGCACAUAGCAGGCACUCAACAAGUGUUUGCUUAACUACAGAAGAAUAAUAUAUUCAUAAUCUUCAUUGGUUAAAACAGGUCAAAGGUUUAUUACUGGCUUCUCAUACCAGAUAAGUCUCACAGUUCCCAAUAAGGCAACAGAAUCCUCAUCCAACAUAUAUUGACUUGUGGAACCCAACGGCCUGUUUUGGUUUCAUUUCAGCGCAAGUAGAAGGCAAAAUAAAGAGUCUCACAGUAAAAUGUUCAUAGUAGAUAAUAUGUCCUUGAAGGUUGUGCCGUUGUGCUCUUAUUCCACUGAAGAAAUGAUUCACAUCCCAAUUAUAGAUAUGGUCUCCCAAUCAGAGGAGUCUUUUAGAAGACAUUCAUUCAUUCAUUGAACAAAUAUGUGUUGUGUACUUGUCCCAUGCUAGGUAACAGGAAAAUAAUAGUGAUUGAUAAGACAUAGUCCCUGUCCUCAAAGAGCUAACAGUCUAGCAAGGCAGGAACUUUGAGAAAAGACCAAUGUGUUCAAAGGAAAACUCACAACCUGGGUCUCCCUUCUCAGAUGGCACAUUCAAGAAACUGUUGCUUAUGCCCCUGGGAGCCAGAGCCUUACUUAAGUCUUACCAAGUCAAAUAUCUAUCAGCCUCAGAUGAUUUGAGCCUGGUAAAGUCUUAGCAAUAGAUUUGCUGCCUCAUGUUCCCAUGAAAACCUAAUAAGAGAGAGCCCUUUCAACUCAGGCAUACGGGGGGUUUAAGGAUAACAUGUUUAGUGACCAUGUGGACAUUCAGCACAGGUGAGCUUCUCAAGUGAGAGCCAUGUGUCCCCAAAAGAAAGGAGGGUUUAUCCAUAAGACUUUGCUCUCCCUUUCAACACUGUGGUGGGAAGUACUCUGUUACCACCCCAAGUUGGCAUAGCUCGAUUACUUUAAGUUCUCCAAGUCACGAACAGCACAUAGAAAAUUCAUGUGGUUAUGCAGAGAUUAUAGCC
rnacentral:lncRNA from 10 species